GUUUGAGAGGAAUUGAAUUUGCUGUUCUGGGUUCACAACUCCAGCCCUAAUCCUGAUCAGUGCAGCAAGAAGGGCUGCCAUAAUCUUGAAGGGUCCAUUUGAGAGACUGUGGGACUGGAGUGAGGAUGGAGCCAAGCAGCUCUCCCAGGCAGGGGAUGUCAUCUUGGUUCGCGGACCUGCAUCAGCACCCUUCCUGGCACCUGGCAGGCAGCAGUACAGAGCUGGUGAAGGAGGAAUGAAGGAGGAUGCCGUGUUGCCCCGAUGAUGGUUCGGGGGUGACAGUCUACACCAAAAGGACCAGAUUCUCCCUACAAAAGAGUGCAGAGCAGUGCUUGUUUGCCGUCAUUCAUCCAGCAGAGGUCUCUCUUGCCCACCAUAUGCUUGUGUGUGCGUAUUCAGUACCAGGGGCGGGACUAUGAGGCUGCAGAAUGAAGAAACACGGACAAAGACUUUCAGGCCUGAGGGACUAAGGAGAGAAGAAUCUGUGGCUUUGGAGCAGGGCCUUCUGAAGCCACAGGACAGACCAAGGAGGAAUCAUGCUGCCCCAUGGACAAGUUCUGAUAUAACACCAAAGAAGGCAGGUGUGGGUUUUCCAUACUGAGGAAGGCAAUCUGGUGAAGAUGAAGCUGCAUCAGAAAAGACACAUUAAAAACAAGACCCUCAUACACUGUUGGUGGGAAUGUUAACUAGUAUAAUCACUAUAGAGAAUG